GAACUACCUUGACUGUACAUUUACCUUGACUGAAGCUGUAGGUAGUGGGUAGGAGUUAUUAAAACAGUAGACACUGAAGAUAAAGAAGUAGGGAGAGGUGCUAAUAACUAAUAGAAAAUCCCACAGAGUAACUAAACCAUGAAGAUUCAAAUACGUUCAGAGGCUUAAGAAAAUAAGCCUAAAAAUUCAGUCUCACUGUAUAUUUUUUCUCACUUUCUCUCAUAGGCCUAAAUCUCAUUUUACUUGUUGGAGAAUUGCUGUCAUGUUUGUUAGUGUAUGUGAGGGGAGGUUAGAGGCUUUGAGAAAAAGGGUCAAGUUGUAGAAUAACCUCACUGUGGAGUGGGAAAGGGCACUUGUGCAACUGGUCAUUUCUAAUUGAGGGCUCAGGAAACAAAAUGACACUUGGGAGUUAGGCUUUGUAAGAUGAGAAUUUAAGGACUUGGGGAGAGGCAGUCCAGAGUAAACAAAUACUUAAGAGAUAUAUAUAUGAAAGUGUAUGGGAUAUGUGAGGAGUAGAGAACCAUAGUGAAAGAUGAGCCUGAAGAAAUAAGGGAGGGAGACUUGAAUGUUUAGAAUUUCCUAUGAAAUCAACGAAGAGGCACUGAGGGUUUCUGAGGAUAAAGUAAGGCAUCCCACCUGAGUAUUAAAAAUUAUGUAAAACUGGAAAAGUUACACUGCAACAGGAAAGGAGUACUGAAGACAAAAUAUAAGUGAAGGACAUAGACAUGUAUAAAGGGAGACUUUUAAGAGGCCAAAUGCAUAAUUUUGGGUGAAAACUGAUCACUUAGAGAGGAAGUGGAUGGAACAGCUGGCAGACACAGACAUUGCCAAAGCUAAAUAAAAGGCGAUAGUAAUUAUGAUGAUAAUAAUCUUGAUGACAAUGCUGAUACAACUAACAUACAGAGGGUUUAAUAUGUGCCAGACACUAGUCUAAGUUAACUUACCAAGUAAUUCAUUUACUGAAUGUAAAGAAUGAGAGGCAAAAAUAACUGAGAACCAAAAGGUGGCAUCAAGAUUUCAUUUCUCAAUAAAGAGUAGUAACAUCAACAGCAGAAAGAGAUCAAGAAGUUUCAAAGGAAGACAGGGGAAGGAUCCAACAAAAAUUUUCUAGUAACUCGCUAUGUGCCAUGCAUGGUUCUAGUUUUAUCAGUAAUGCGGAUAAAACAUCCUUGCCUUCACCAAGUUUAAAUUUAGUUGGUUAGGGGAGGAUGGAUACAGACAAAUAGAAUACAUACACUGUAAAGCUUGUUAAAAGGUAAUCAGUACAAUGUAAAAAAGGGGAAAAAUGAAAAAUGUGUGUAUGGAGAUGAAUAGGGGGGUUUUGAUUUUUAAAUAAUCAAUGUACCCCUCAUGAGAUGAAGUGAACACCUGAAGGACAUGGAGUAUUUCAGGCAAAGAGAAGAGCCAGUACAAAAGGUCUAAGUUAGAACUGUACCCAGUAUAUUCAAGUAAGCUAAUAUGGCUGAGAACAAUAGAAAAUGAGUUUCAGGGAGAAGUAUCAGGAAGCUUGAUCACCUAAGGCCUUGCAGAGCAUUUUAAAGACUAUCUUUUACCAAUGGGAAAAUGGAGAGUCACUGUUGGGUUCUGAACAGAAGUGUGAUAUGAUUUGAUUUAGAUGACUGAAGAUCACUCAGAGUGCUACAUAAAGAAUAAACUGCAAGCAAUGAUGGAAUUAGGGAGACCAAUGACUAAUGUAGUAAUGCAGGUAUGAGAUUAAAUUAAUUGCUUGAACCAUUACUAAAUGACUAAUGUAGUAAUGCAGGUAUGAGAUUAAAUUAAUUGUUUGAACCAUGGUGAGAAGUGAUUAAGAUUACAUAUAUGUAUUUUGAGAUAAGGUCUCACUUUGUUGCCUAGGCUGGAGUGCAGUAGCAGUGUUGACUUCCCCAGACUCGAGUGAUCCUCCUACCUCCACCUCCUGAGUGCUAAUUUUAAGGCAAUGGUAACAAGAUUUUUCAACACAAUGGAAUAUAGAGAAAAAUUAAAGAAACUGGGUCUCACUGUGUUGGCCAGGCUGGAUUUGAACUCCUGGGCCUCAGCCUCCAGAGUAGCUGAGACUACAGCUUUAUCUGGAAUGAGCAACAAUCAAUUCUUAUUCAACUGGGAUGUGGGAGAAGGACUGAUAGUGAAGUCACAGGUAAACAGUUGAAACAAAAUUUACUUCGGUGCUUAAGUGUAGUAUCUGCCACAUCUUGUAUUUGCCAACUACCUACCCUCCGUUUUCCUCUCUGUCAUUCUCCCCUCCCCAAAAUCCACAUUAAUGCUCAGUCUCAACCUGACUUCUAUCUCCUUCCGCAACUCCUCGUUGUCAAUCUACAUCCAAGGAAAAGCUCCAGAAAGAGAGGAAGGGAAGGGGGUCCAUGGAUACCUCGAAGUAGUAGACCAGCUACUACUACCAGCUCAGUUCUCUAUCCAGUUUUUAAUUAAAGCCUGUAAGCCCCAAUCUCAGAUGCCCCUUUUGGAUAGCAGGGUGGGGCUACAAGCAAAGGGGAGAGGGGAGAGUAGUUACAUGCAGCCCCAUUGCAAAGCUCUCUAGCCAGCAGGGACUCACUAGUGAAAUGCAGCCAGUUCUGGGUCCAAAAGCGUUGUGAGAAGGGGAGAGAGCCACCCAAUCAGCCCACCCCAAGGCUUAAUUCCUCUCCUCCCAAUGAAGAUCAGCCUCUGCCUAAUUAUAAACAGGGCUGGGGAAGGUAAGUAAGGGACUGCAGCUGUGUUCCCUAUCUGAAAAUCUAUUAACAUCAGAUAAUCAAAAGCACUUUAUAAAUAAAGCAUAUUUCUCAAAUUUAACCUAAAUUUUCGUCAAUUAAUCCAAAUAUCUAAGGAUUCAUGUUUAUAAAUGAAAUUAUUCCAAAAGGCAUCACACAACCGUGGCUACUCAUAUAGAACAAAACAACACCAGGGCCAGAACUAGGGUGAGGAAAUCAAAGGCCCGGGUGCAAAAUUUAAGGAGGCAUUCACACAUAAGCUUGUGCAUGUGAAAGGUUAGUCACUGAGAAUGAGUGCCUCCUUAAAUGUUUUACUAGGUUUUGCAAAAGCUUUUUCUUGAUGCUUAGGGGUCAAGAAUUUACAAUGUAAAUAAUAUGGGACAGCUAUAUAGAUAGAUGGCAUAAAACAUAAAAUCAAAUGGCUAAACAAACACAAAAUUGCAUGACUCUUUUUUUAAUAAAACAUUUUCUUAAUAAAAAAUCUUCUUAAUCUACUUUCAUAAAAAGUAAAACACCUUAAUUUAUAACCAUUUAUCUGUCAUACAUGUGGAGUCAAAAUGUUCCGCUCUGGCUGUGUUUUAACAAUCUAGAACAUAUCACACUAAUUU